GACAGAGGGUGCAAACGUUGUUCGGAAUUACUGGGCGUAAAGCGUGUGUAGGCGGUCCGCUAAGUCGGGUGUGAAAGCCCAGGGCUCAACCCUGGAAUGGCCUUUGAGACUAGAGGACUUGGGUACGGGAGAGGUGAGUGGAAUUCCGAGUGUAGAGGUGAAAUUCGUAGAUAUUCGGAAGAACACCAGUGGCGAAGGCGGCUCACUGGCCCGUUACCGACGCUCAGGCGCGAUAGCGUGGGGAGCAAACAGG
rnacentral:rRNA from 1 species